UUAUUUUAAAAACACCUAAUCUAGGCAAAAAUAAUGGGGGUUUAGUUACAUUAAAAAUAAACCCCCAUUAUUUUUGCCUAGAUUAGGUGUUUUUA
rnacentral:miRNA from 1 species